GAGUGCGUUCAUACCAGCGUUAAUGCACCAGAUCCCAUCAAAACUCUGCAGUUAAGCGUGCUUGGGCUAGAGUAGUACUGGGAUGGGUGACCUCCCGGGAAGUCCUAGUGUUGCACCCU
rnacentral:rRNA from 1 species